rnacentral:tRNA from 1 species
GACUCCAUAGCUCAACGGGAUAGAGCGCUAGUUUCCUAAACUGGAUAUCGAGGUUCGAGUCCUCGUGGAGUCACCA